rnacentral:rRNA from 1 species
AUACGUAGGUGGCGAGCGUUGUCCGGAAUUACUGGGUGUAAAGGGCGCGUAGGCGGGGAGGCAAGUCAGAUGUGAAAUACCGAGGCUUAACUUCGGGGCUGCAUCUGAAACUGUUUUUCUUGAGUGUCGGAGAGGAAAGCGGAAUUCCCAGUGUAGCGGUGAAAUGCGUAGAUAUUGGGAGGAACACCAGUGGCGAAGGCGGCUUUCUGGACGACAACUGACGCUGAGGCGCGAAAGCGUGGGGAGCAAACAGGAUUAGAUACCCUGGUAGUCCACGCCGUAAACGAUGGAUACUAGGUGUAGGAGGUAUCGACCCCUUCUGUGCCGGAGUUAACACAAUAAGUAUCCCACCUGGGGAGUACGGCCGCAAGGUUGAA